rnacentral:rRNA from 1 species
UUUACUGACGCUAAAGCUCGAAGGUGCGGGUAUCGAAACAGGAUUAGAUACCCUGGUAGUCCGCACGGUAAACGAUGGAUGCCCGCUGUUUGCGAUAUACUGUGAGCGGCCAAGAGAAAUCGAUAAGCAUCCCACCUGGGGAGUACGCCGGCAACGGUGAAACUCAAAGGAAUUGACGGGGGCCCGCACAAGCGGAGGAACAUGUGGUUUAAUUCGAUGAUACGCGAGGAACCUUACCCGGGCUUGAACUGCAGGAGAACGAUACAGAGAUGUUGAGGUCCUUCGGGACUCCUGUGGAGGUGCUGCAUGGUUGUCGUCAGCUCGUGCCGUGAGGUGUCGGCUUAAGUGCCAUAACGAGCGCAACCCUUUUCAUUAGUUGCCAUCAGGUAAUGCUGGGCACUCUGGUGAUACUGCCACCGUAAGGUGUGAGGAAGGUGGGGAUGACGUCAAAUCAGCACGGCCCUUACGUCCGGGGCUACACACGUGUUACAAUGGGGGGUACAGAGAGUCGGAUGUACGCAAGUACAUUCUAAUCCUAAAAGCCUUCCUCAGUUCGGAUUGGGGUCUGCAACCCGACCCCAUGAAGCUGGAUUCGCUAGU